CUUAAUUUGACUCAACGCGGGGAAACUCACCAGGUCCAGACAAAUAAGGAUUGACAGAUUGAGAGCUCUUUCUUGAUCUUUUGGAUGGUGGUGCAUGGCCGUUCUUAGUUGGUGGAGUGAUUUGUCUGCUUAAUUGCGAUAACGAACGAGACCUCGGCCCUUAAAUAGCCCGGUCCGCAUUUGCGGGCCGCUGGCUUCUUAAGGGGACUAUCGGCUCAAGCCGAUGGAAGUGCGCGGCAAUAA
rnacentral:rRNA from 1 species